rnacentral:rRNA from 1 species
AAUAGAUACACGGGUAGUCCACGCCGUAAACGAUGAGUGCUAAGUGUUAGAGGGUUUCCGCCCUUUAGUGCUGCAGCAAACGCAUUAAGCACUCCGCCUGGGGAGUACGGUCGCAAGACUGAAACUCAAAGGAAUUGACGGGGGGCCCGCACAAGCGGUGGAGCAUGUGGUUUAAUUCGAAGCAACGCGAAGAACCUUACCAGGUCUUGACAUCCUUAUGCCUUCUCUAGAGAUAGAGCUUUCCCUUCGGGGACAUAAGUGACAGGUGGUGCAUGGUUGUCGUCAGCUCGUGUCGUGAGAUGUUGGGUUAAGUCCCGCAACGAGCGCAACCCUUGAUCUUAGUUGCCAGCAUUCAGUUGGGCACUCUAAGGUGACUGCCGGUGACAAACCGGAGGAAGGUGGGGAUGACGUCAAAUCAUCAUGCCCCUUAUGACCUGGGCUACACACGUGCUGCAAUGGAUGGUACAAAGGGCAGCGAAACCGCGAGGUUAAGCCAAUCCCAUAAAACCCAUUCUCAGUUCGGAUUGCA